CACGCUCGAGGAAAAAUAGGCAAUCAUGAAAUGUUUUCUUUAAUUAGGCCGGCUAAAGUAGAAGGGCACGGCGAGAGCGCGGGACACAUUCAUCAUAGCCAAGGUGGGAAAUUACUUCAAUUACUCAGGAAGGAGAGAGUGAGCCGAAUCAGAGGAGUCACAGAGGAGAGGAGACGAGACGGGAGAGGGCGAGAUCUCUGAGGAAGUCUGCAUGACACCUAGGCAAGGACAGAGGAGGCAAGGAGAGAGGAGAGGAAAUAGAGGGUGAGAUCUCUGAGGAAGAACACAGGACCGAGGAGAGGUGAUGAGACGGGAGAGGGUGAGAACUCUGAGGAAGUCUGCACGACACCUAGGCAAGGACAGAGGAGACAAGGAUAGAGGAGAAGAGAGGGAAGAGGGCGAGAUCUCUGAGGAAGUCUGCAUGACACCUAGGCAAGGACAGAGGAGACAAGGUAAGAGGAGACAAGGAAAGAGUUGAGGAGAUAGAAGGCUAGAUCUCUGAGGAAAAACACAGGACAGAGGAGAGGUGAUGAGAUGGGAGAGGGCGAGAUCUCUGAGGAAGUCUGCAUGACACCUAGGCAAGGACAGAGGAGACAAGGAUAGAGGAGAGGAAAGGGAAGAGGGCAUGAUCUUUAAGGAGGAACACAGGACAGAGGAGCCAAGGACCGAGGAGAGGUGAUGAGACGGGAGAGGGUGAGAACUCUGAGGAAGUCUGCACGACACCUAGGCCAGGACAGAGGAGACAAGGAUAGAGGAGAAGAGAGGGAAGAGGGCGAGAUCUCUGAGGAAGUCUGCAUGACACCUAGGCAAGGACAGAGGAGACAAGGACAGAGGAGACAAGGAAAGAGUUGAGGAGAUAGAAGGCUAGAUCUCUGAGGAAAAACACAGGACAGAGGAGCCAAGGACAGAGGAGACAAGGAUGGAGGAAAGGGGAUAGAAGGCUAGAUCUCUGAGGAAAAACACAGGACAGAGGAGCCAAGGACAGAGGAGACAAGGAUGGAGGAAAGGGGAUAGAAGGCUAGAUCUCUGAGGAAAAACACAGGACAGAGGAGAGGUGAUGAGAUGGGAGAGGGCGAGAUCUCUGAGGAAGUCUGCAUGACACCUAGGCAAGGACAGAGGAGACAAGGAUAGAGGAGAGGAAAGGGAAGAGGGCAUGAUCUUUAAGGAGGAACACAGGACAGAGGAGGCAAGGACAGAGGAGAGUAGAUGAGACGAGAGAGGGCGAGAUCUCUAAGGGAGAGUGCAUUACACCUAGGCUAGGACAGAGGAGACAAGGAUUGAGGAGAAGGAGAAAGACAGUGUGACACUGACCCUGCAUGAACAUUUUACAUUUUUUCCCCUUUAACUGAAGAACCGAUUGGAUCUUUUGUUUUAUCUUGUUUGUGUGUUUUGCAGAGAGCGGGAUCGUCACUUUACUUACAUACAACCCACACGAUUGAUCCCCACGCCAUGAAGACGCCACACAUCACUCCUGUCCAUCAGCAGCCACAGAGCAGGAAACCUGUG